rnacentral:rRNA from 1 species
UACAGAGGUCUCAACCGUUGUUCGGAUUUAUUGGGCGUAAAGGGUGCGUAGGUGGUCGUGUAAGUCGGGUGUGAAAUCCUAGGGCUCAACCCUGGAACUGCAUUCGAUACUGCACGGCUUGAGCGCUGGAAAGGAGACUGGAAUUUACGGUGUAGCAGUGAAAUGCGUAGAUAUCGUAAGGAAGACCAGUGGCGAAAGCGAGUCUCUGGACAGAUGCUGACACUGAGGCACGAAGGCCAGGGGAGCAAACGGG